UUGAUAUUCGGUACGGUUAGUUAAGAUGGCCGACUACGUCAACAAACAGGUGAUUGAAUUGAACAAAGUUAAUGAAGAAAACCGGAACAGAGCAACGAGGAGCAUGAAGACUGAGACCCAUCUCUCAGAUGGAAGACUAAGACUCUACAGGAUGGCUGCUGUGUGGUUUAGGAGUGCUGUGUGUUCUACAAGUCACUCUCAACAUCUCCCUGAGACUGGCUUUCUAUAACAGAGGCAAUGUGACUGCAGAGAAAGACCUGCUACAGACCAGUUACAACACCCUGACUGAAGAGAGAGACCUGCUACAGAC